rnacentral:lncRNA from 1 species
UGUGGUAUCUGCUUGUGCGUUGUGUGUCAUUAUAUCUAAUCGUUAUUCUCUAUGUACAGUGAAGGAAAAUGGCUAGUCCGGAUGUCUCCAAGCUCCUCCGUCCAGCCUGUACGUCUCUGCCUCUGUGCUCUUUAUUCAUGUGGAGGACGGGAAGAGAAGCAAUUGCAAGAAGGCGGCGGUCUUCCUGCAUCUCAGGGGCCCUGGGACCUGGCAGCGUGGGAUACAACUCCCGUGGACGUCUGCAUUUAGCCCAGAGGCUUCGGAUGCUGUUGGCUGCAGCCCAGGAGGUGCUGGAUACAUGGUCGCUGUGA